UAAUGAUAUCCUGAAUUUUCUGUAAUUCUUCAAUUUAUUUGCUUGGUAGAGUAUAUUUUGGGGGCUCUAUUGCAGUAACAUUUAAGCCUACAACAUAGCUUUCCUGUCAUCUUGAGCCUCUGUAACAAUGCUCCUAAAAGCUUGAGAGUUCAAAUCCUUCAGCCUUUUAUUCAAUAGUUUUAAUUUCCUGGUAACUUGCUUCA
rnacentral:lncRNA from 1 species